GAUGAACGCUAGCGGCAGGCCUAAUACAUGCAAGUCGAACGGUAAGGCCCUUUCGGGGGUACACGAGUGGCGGACGGGUGCGUAACGCGUAUGCAACAUGCCUUCCAGCGGGGGAUAUACCAGGGAAACUUGGCGCAAUACCCCAUAGAAUUACGGGACCGCAUGGUCUUGUGAUUAAAACUACCGGUGCUGGGAGAUUGGCAUGCGUGACAUUAGCUAGUUGGCGGGGUAACGGCCCACCAAGGCGACGAUGUCUAGCUGGUCUGAGAGGAUGAUCAGCCACACUGGGACUGAGACACGGCCCAGACUCCUACGGGAGGCAGCAGUAGGGAAUAUUGGACAAUGGGGGGAACCCGGUACGAUCCAGCCACUGCCGCCGUGAGGGAAGGAAGGUACCGUCU
rnacentral:rRNA from 1 species